rnacentral:lncRNA from 1 species
UGGAGACCACGGGGAAGAGAAAGUUAGAUGGAGAUUGAGAGUGAGGGGUUUUUAGAUUGUGAAUGUAAAGAAUAGCCCUGCUAGAGAAAUCCUUUUUGAUUACAUGUUGAAGCCUUUUUCCUUUUACCAGUUUUCAGAGAUGAUGCCUCAUCUCAAUCUCAAUCUCUCAGGGUUGGGUAUGGAUCUAUGUUUGUGGAUCGCCAAAUGUACCCUUCUACAAAUGGAGGAGUUAAGACAGUUGACCAUGGUGAACAUGGGAGUGGGAUCAUAUUUACAAGAUGAAGCUAACAGGCAAAAUCCUUCCAUUAACGAAGGAAAGAGUAGCGAGAUGCAAAGAGAGGUUGUGGAGGCUUACCCCUAGCAACCACAUCAAAGGAUUUUUUGUUUCGUUUGACGGCUACCAAGUGCACGUGAUGCAUCAAGUUGUUAUGAAGGUUUGUCCCUUGCGAUAUAGGGGUCUACCCCUCGCAACAACCUGUUCGCCGCAUCUCAUACUAAUUUUGUCAUAGUUAGAUUGUUUCUUGUAUUGUUGCUACAUAGGGGUCUACCCCUCGCAACAACCUGUUCGCCGCAUCUCAUACUAAUUUUGUCAUAGUUAGAUUGUUUCUUGUAUUGUUGCUACAUCGACAAUUGCUUCUUGUAUUGCUCUAUUUUUUUUUAAAAAACACCUUUUUAUGAAUAAAAAGAUUGUGGAGGUCUAUUGCAAAGACCCUUUUUUUUUUGUAAUUAAAAAAGGGUAGGUCAUUGGGGAUUUGCGCCCUACCCUUUGGUGAGAAUGGAGUCAGAGAAUUCUUUGAUACUUUUAUUUCCAAGGGUUAUUCAACAGAUUUUUAUUUGGUGAUUUUAUAAUGUAAAAUAAUCCGAGCUGCGACUAUAUCUUAAAUUAGCAAUCAAUUUCAAUCUUAGAGACAACACAAUCUUGAAUUACCAAUCGCGAUUGGUAAUUCAAUCUUAGAAACGAUUCAUUGAUGUAAAGCAUGUUCUUUUUGUUUGUCUUGCUGGAGUCCUUAUUUCACAAAUUCGAGUUGUGUUGGGUAAGGUUUGAAUCUUAGAUUUCAUAUAUAAUGAGUCAAAACACUAAAAAUUCAACUAUGAAUACUUGUGACUAGUGUUUUAAAACAAGUAUUGUUUGGGCAAUGAUCAUUCACCUACAGGUUCAUGACAGAUUGUGGAUCGCUGAUCCGAAUCAGGUCUAAAAUGGUUUGAAUUCCAAAACAACAUGAAAAAAAUAAAAUAAAAAAAUUAAAAUAUGGUUUUUCGGGUGGAGAUUUGGAGGGGCUUAAAAACAAGUGUACUUUAAAAAAAUAUAUAAAUAUGGGUUUUUGGAGAAUCAGUACCUAGACUCAUAAUUCCCAUCCAAAUCGUUGUUUACUAAGUUCUCAAAUACUUGAAAACACUAACCUAGGGUUCAAGCAAUUAAGACGGAACUCGGCAUAGUCUGAUUUCCAUAUUUUCAAACCUUAAUUUAUUGCAACAGCUUCGUAGCCAAUAAAGAAGGUGUCUCAUGCUUUGUAAGUAGCUUGCCUUGUCCUCUUUCCUUUUGAUUAGAGAGAAACAUUGAUGUGAGGCCAUCUGAGCCCAUCUCCGAACCAUUUAGACUAUACUAACUUUGUUGCUAACGGGUGGAUCAGUAGACCCGAGGGGCCGGCUCAUACUGGAUCCGGGUGAGGAUCUAGAGAAUGGACCCAAUGGGUCAAGUCUUGGUCUACUUGACCUGAAUAUGAUGCAGGUCCUGAUGUACUUGAAACCCAAUUUAUAGAACUAGUUGUCAUACUCCUUCAUAAAAACAAGGUUGGAAUGUUCUACAUUGUUUCUAAUCUUGGUAAACAUUCCAAUUGAUUAUCACAAGUUCCAG